AACAAUUAAGUGCCAUUAUGGCAAUUCUGCACAUUUUAUCUCUAACAUACAAACAACUGAGUAUUUUCAAACAACAAAUUAUUCUAUUACAUACUAUUAUAUAUUAUAUAUCUGUCCAUCGAGCUUCUAUAAAAAGGCAAUUUUCCCCCUAAUAUAAUUUCACCUUUUUUGUUCAUUGCAGGGUCAGUACCGAAAUAAGUUUAGCAGGUGGGGCACUGGAUUUUCCUGGGGACUAAUGAGCGAUUACAGUAGAAAUAAAGUGUAUAGUAUUUUUGAUUUACAGCAAAUGUGCCUAAGAGUGUAUAAGCAAGAAAGACAAGUGCAAACAUAUCUUUUUCAUACAGAGUGCAAAGCUGCAGGUUCAUAUGAUAAUAAAACUAAGGCAGGUUGUAUUGAUCAAAGGUGUGGCACUGGCACACAUACAGAAAAGCAACACACAUCACUCAAUGUACAUCAUUGUGCAACAGGAGAUCACAAAAUGAAACAAAAUAGAAAAAUGUAAAAAAUAUAUAAAUAGUUCAGAUUACCACUGCAUACCACUAUGAAAAGUUGUUAAUACUGAGCUAUUUAAAGUAAAAGUGCACCAGGCUGAUGUGCAAUAUCACUUUGGCAGUUGUUAAAUCACUGAACUUACCUUUUUAAGAGGUGAACUUGAAGAGUCCAUAAACUGAACUUCAGUUGAAGCAAUUUGCUCAAAAUUUCUCUUUAAUUUUUGCUUUCAUUGCACCACUGGGCUCUUGCUUUGAAUGGCCAUCCAUUUUCUGUUUUAUGGCAUGAUAACACAGCAAAUGUUCGAUGUCAUACAACCGACUUAUUAGAAACCUGCUCUAAUUGUGCCCCGCUCACUCUUAUUAUUGUUUUAAAAGUUUUUUCUAUUUAUGUCUCUUUGGACAGGUUUAUAUUCGUGAGGAUCAAAGCGAGGCAGUGGUGAGAGCUGCAAAGUAUGUUGCUGGUGUCCUACAACAAACAGCUCAUCGGCCAGAUACAUGAAUACACACUGAGAAACAGGACCACCUGUCUGUGCAGAUAUUUGCUGGAAGAGCACAUAAGAUCCUGGAUGUCAUGGUCAACACAGUACCUAUAAAUGUGCACCAAGUUCUUGGCUCAUGGCGUCCCACCACCUGCUGUGCCCACUCCCCCCUUGCCAAUGACCCCAGUGCCAGGUGGAAUCUGGUUGUUGUUGAUGUGUGCUAGGGAGGUGACCAUGUGGCUGGAAGACACCAAGGCCCAGAUUACCUCCUUCUUCAGCUCAUUCUUGAAGAUGACACCGAUCGCCUGCCCGUCCAUUCCUGUAAUCCUUCCCUCUAGCGUUCUCGCAUCCGAGCCGAUGGUUCUCUCCCUUUCCUCAGGUGACCAAGAAUCUUGCCGGCAUGGGAGUCUGGGUGAUAGCAUAGGUAACAAGCAUGGCCUUAUCCUCAUCAGCAUCCUAACCGCUAACAAGGGUGCAGGCUUGCACCCCAUGGCUGUAAGGAUUCUGCAAUGGUACAGGGAGGCCAGCGUUUCCCCUCCUCAGGCUCAGUACGUGGAAUACGACAGCUGUUCCCUUGUGGGAAAAUCCAAGGUGGCAUCCAUGUUCCAUGAGUGGAAUUGGCAAGUGGUGCAGCUCGACGUGUUGCACCUCAUGCAAUGCUUUGCAGCAGGUGUUACCACAGAAAGCCACCCAAUGUACUUCCUAUUCAUGGGGCAUCUCUCCUUCACCAUUUUUGAGUGGGAUGAGGGGAAUGCCGCCCAGCUUUACCAGGCCUUAGCCACCGAGUCUGUGAAAGGACCUAGGGGCUCCCACAUCAGUGACAUAUCGCUUAAGGAUCUGUCCCGGCAUUGCAGCCACUGCACGUGUGGGCAGUGAAGACUGAGGAGAUGCUGUAGCCUUUAGGGUUGCCAAAAAUACCAUGGGCAUCCUGCUGCUGGACCAUGACAAGAUCCAGGACCACCUCCACUAUAUCCAGGACUCGUCUGAUGUAUACCUGUACAUACAGACCAUGCAGCUGGUCAAAUGGGGGAUCACACUGCUAGUGUUAAGUGUGCAUUGGGCUCCUCUUCCUUGAAGUCUUUCCACCUGGACUCACUUCAUACAUGAUAAGGAUCCAGAACCUGUCCUCUCUCUGUGUCAGGGAGGGUGAAGGAGACAUUGUUUUUCUUUCUUUUUCUCACUGUGUCUAUCUCUCUACAACUUUCUUUCUGGCACUUCAGUGAGUGUGACUCACUUCCUUGAAUAUCUUCUGGAAGGGCACAGCAAAACGAGGACCGUGCAGUCUAAACUGCUACAGUGGCCAUCUCUAGCCUUCCUUCUGUCUGCUUGGCAUGAAGCUGUUUGAGGAUUACACCCAGUUGCAAACUACACUGGAGAGGAGGGUGGCUAUGUCUGUCUGUCUGUUUUUUUUUCUGUCAUGUUGCCCAUUUCACAGGACAGCAUCUAGUAGCUCUUUUCUUAGACCAGUCAAGUGCUGGAGGAAGAGAUAGGGAUCCUGAUGUUCCAGAUGGGAUCCAGGAUGACAACUACUAAGAAAGUAUUGACGAGGGCUUCCUGGAACUGGUAGAGGGAGACCAUCUUUGGUCUAGAGGAGCACUUUGUCUCGCCGACCAGCAGAUCCACAUCAUCAUUAUUGGAGUCUUCCCCUUGCACCCAGGCCAUUUCCAGGGUGUGCCACAAUUAGGUAAGUCUUUCAAAAGAAAGUAUGCCCGUGGAUUAUCUCACAAGUUCCUCUCCCUCUUCCCACAGGAUAGCUUGGGGCUUGAUGGUGCCCCAAGAUACCAACAUGUGGUCAACCUGGCCUGCUGUCUCGUGGAGUUACAUCACUAUGCCUUCAUGACACAGCACUAGCUGGCGGAGAUCUGGGUAUGAUUACCAUCCCAUGCAAAGCUGCACAAAUUCCCAAAUGUCAGCGAUGUUGUUCACCCCAAGGGAACCACCAUUUCCGGCGUGAAGGUGAACCAGUGUCAGCGAUCAUGAGUGAUUACUUCUGCAUCCGGGAGAACAUCCAGAGCAACUCGGUACUCUCACCCUGCACCAGCAUCCAGAUUUUUGUCCUUUAUCUCACCAACAAAUCCUGGGUUAUGACUCGUCCUACAAUAAACAUCAGUAACUUUGGUUUCAAAACACUGUGUGCUUUAUAUGAGUGACAGGGCAUCUUGAGUGCUGUCCGGCUAUGAACAGCUAGCGGGCACUGACUUCAGACAGUGUAUCAUGACAGAAGCAGGAAGGGGCAGGGGGGUAUGCCUUCUUCAUCAUUCGUCAUCAUAAAUAUAGGAGCCAAACUUGUCAGUGUAAUGAAGAGUGUUGUCACUUGCAGUAUACAGGUCCCUAAUGUGUAGAUUUUCAGGAUGUUAGAGUAAGAAAAAUAUCUGCAGAAAAUUCAAGCAGACCCAUGGAAAAUACUGCUAACUACAAGGUCACAUUGUGACAAAUACUAUUUUUAUUCAUAAACAGGCCAAUUAAGUGACAGCAGCACAAGUUAGCUGCCAAGUUGUUUGCGUUUUCCAUUAGACUUAAUCAAAGUCAUUGUGCAACUAUCCUUUACCUUAACUUCUUUAUUCUUCUCAUUCCAAGGAAUCAUAAUUGUGAAGUCAUUCAUGCAGUCCACUAAUGCAUCUGUUUGAGCUUCUUCCAGACUGGUAGCACCAGCUAAUCCUGUGUGAAGGCUGGAUGGUUUUCAUCAGACGGAGUAGAAAAAGCAGGAGGAGGACUGCAGAUUUAUGUUAAUAAGUGAUGGAUAAAAAGGGAGCACAUUAUAAAUUAAAUGUGUGACUAAGACUUUGAAAUGUGUAUUGAAUUUGUCUGCAUUACUUUUCAAGUAAAUAAGUUACGUCCUGGUAAAUAAUAACGUAAUAAGUUAUUGCGGUGGUUUGGCACCCUGCCCGGGAUUAGUUCCUGCCUUUUGCCUUGUGAUGGCUGGGAUUGGCUCCAGCAGACCCCCGUGACCCUGUGUUCAGAUUCAGCGGGUUGGAAAAUGGAUGGAUUAUCCUGGUAAAUAAUAACGUAAUAAGUUACGUCCUGGUAAAUAAGUCCUGGCUGACUUAGUAACAGUGAUGAUUCACUCUGUACUAGAGUUUGUUUGUUUUUUAUUAUUAUAAGUAUCAUCUAUCUAUUCAUAUGUAAUGCUGUCACAGAAAAUUGGGUAUAGUCCUAAUUCACUACAACAGUAACAACAAUUUAGUUCUUGUAUCGCCCAAAAUCACACAAGUAAUGCCUCAAUGGGCUUUAACAGGUCUUAUUUCAUGACGUAUCCCCAAGAUGGCAAGAAAAAGACUCCCAAAAAAAGAAAAAAUACCUUUGUAGGAUUGAAAAAUGGAAACAAUCUUGGGAAAGGCAAUUCAGAAAGAGACAACCUUCCAGGUAGGUUGUGUGUGCAAUGGGUGUGAAAAAAUAGGGUAAAUAUAAUACACAAAACAGAACACAAGCAAUCUUCUUUACAAAGCUAGAUGGCAAAUAUGUAUCUGCCAUUACCACUUCAGAAUUAUAGAAUACUAACAUUGAAUAUAGAAUAGUAGUACAAACUACAGGGCAAAAUGCAAAUAUAGAAUAUACUACUCACUAAAUACAGAACUAUCACAUAUGAAGACACAAAUUUGUACAAAUGCAUAAACAACAAAGUAGAAACUAAUUAACAUAAAUGAAAAACAACUUUAUCUGCCUAUUGGCUAAUUGUAGAACCACUGCCAGAUUAUAGAAAUCGAGUCGGACCACCCAGACACAGUCAAAAUCCUGGAGACCGCCAACUAGCCACCUUCCUUGUACUGGCCAUUCUACAGCUGAGUCAGUGCUAGGCCAGCCAAUCUAAUGAAAGGACUACUUCAUGAUUCCAUUGCUCCUCAUUUUGCAGAAGUCAAUGCUACUACAAAUAAAUGCAUAAAUUAAUUUCUCAUUAUCCUGCAUAUUUAGUAGAUGCCUUAAUUUUCCAACAUUUUUAAGAUGGCAUAAGCAUGUUUUGGAUAGUUUUGUAAUGUACACUUUAAAUGACAUGCUAAGACAAACAUAACCCCUAGAUUGCAGGCGAAUUCAGUAAAACUAAUGGUGAUUCCAAAUGAGUUAAAUAAUGACAAAAUAUUGUUGCAAUCAGUAUCAUUACAUCCAAUAAUUAACAUUUCUGUUUUUCUGUGUUCAGUGACUCAUCCAUCCAUUCCUUUAGCUCAAUAGUACAUCUAAUUUAGGACAACAUCAGAGAACUGAGAGUUAUUUACAUAUGAGUAAAAACUAACAUUGUUUUCCAAUGACAGUAAAGGCCCCAGUACUGAACCUUGUGGGACACCAUAUCUGACAUCUGUGUGUAAUGAUGGAGUACUGUCAGUACAUUUCCCUACUUACUUUAAUGGAUUUGAUAAAUAAGAACUAAACCAGGCAAGGACAUUAAACCAAUGUUAGUUUCCAGCCUGUGUAGU